GAAAAAGAGAGGGUUAAUAAAUAAAUCAAAGAAGAAAAUCUUAAUGAUACAAAGGAAACUAAUAAGGUACACCAGAAUCAAGGGUUCCUACAAUUUUCUCUUUACCAAACUUUGCGUUGAGCCAGAGAGAAGCAGCUGGAAUUUCUCCAUCGCAAUUCUAAGAUGCAACAUUAAUUUGGAUGCUCUGAUAUCAUUCAAAGAGGAUGAUUAUCAUCAAAUAAUUAAUGAAGAAGAAGAUAAUGCAAGAAAAAAUAACAUAAAUUUAAUUAAUUAAUACUAUUGUUUUGUUACUAGAGAGUUGAGCUGCUUCUGCCUCUUUAAGCAUCACAACAAAACCAUUGAAAUAUAGAGAAAAAAUGGCUCUCGAGCCUCCGCAACUCAGACCACCCCAGUCACCGCAAAACCACCACCACCAGCAAUCCAAUAACCGCCAAACACCACCUGAACCCUUUAAUCUGUGAAAAGACAGUCCAACAUCUCUCUACAUUGAAAACUUCGCGCCUGACUGGAGUGCUAAUGCAUUUUGGAAUUCCUUCACAAAAUUCUACAACAUUUCAGAUAUCUAUAUCCCCAAGAAGCUUAACAGAAGAGGUCGUCGUUAUGGCUUCAUUAGAAUCCCACCAGCAGCUCAAGUCCAAAGCACUCUAAAUGCUUUCAAUAACCUUUAGAUUGGAACUUUCAAAAUGAGGGCUUCUUUAUCGCGGAAAGCUCAACAGUCUAGACAAGGCAAGCAAGACCGUAGAGGGAACAAAGCUCAGAUGCCCAACAGAUCUCCAAUAAAACCACGAAUUACAAUCGCAGCACACCCAACAAACCAUACUCAAGCAAGGAAUCCAGUAGGGGAAGCAGAAAAAUCUGCGCUACCAAGAAGGAAUAGAGAACGGGAAGUAGAGCGGGAAUCAUUUGACAUCUGCCCUGGGCAGUCAAAAGCUAACAGUCCCUUUGUGAGUGGAGUUUACAGUGCCCCUAAAGAGAUAAUAGACGAAAACAAAGAAUGGCUCUGUCGCUCAGCUGUUGUUACCUUACAGAGUGUUCAUUCAACUACAAACUUACAGGAUCACAUCCUAGCCCAAGGUGUUUACCAUAUUAAUGUCACCGCAGUUGGGGCCGAUAGAGCACUCUCAACUUUUGAAUCGGUGGAGAUGAUGAAAGGCUAACUAGAGGAAAAUCAAAACUGGCUAAACCAAUGGUUUUUUGAUAUCAAACCUUGGCAAGCAGUCCACACACCGCAAAAUAGACUUUUUUGGCUGAGAUUGCAAGGCAUCCCGCUUAUGGUCUAGUCUAGACAUUUUUUCGAAUGGGUAGCAGGCCUCAUUGGGAAAUUCUUAUCAAUAGAUGAUAUGACUCAAACAAAGGCCAAAUUAGACCAUGCCCGAAUCUUUCUAUCCACAGAGUACCAAGAGCAUAUGAACAAGCUAGUGGCAAUGGACAUUUAUAACGUCCAUUAUAUCAUAAGAGCAACCGAGGAACCAUGUUUCGAGCUUGUAAAGUAUCUUACUCUAAACAAACGUGUAGAUACUCCAUCCACAAGCUAUAAUGCCACUGGUUCGUCAUCCCAUGCAGAGGUAGAACCAUCAAACAGAGAAGACGAUGACGUGGAGGUUCCAAAUGGUGAUGCUGAUGUGGACAAUAACGCGGAUGAUUUCAGCCAGACAUUUGGUGCAUUAGAUCAGAGAGAGCAAGACCCUCCAGAUGUUGUAGCUGUCAGGGAUGGCGUGAGAAAUGAUGCAGAUCCACCUGUAACAACAUUAAAUCCUGCGAUUGAUGAUUAUGAUGUAGGGACCAUUGAACUUAUGUAUGGCGUACAUAAGCUCUUGAGCCGCCCGCCUUCAAACGAUGCUUCAUCGGAAGCGGUCCCAAAUGCUAAUAAUGAUUUAGCCACCUUGGGCACAUCGCCCCAGCAGAACAUGAACCGGACAAUUCAUGAAUUGGCAAUGAUUUGUUGUCGUCCAGAGUGUCAAGAGCUAUCCUCCUCUUUAAACAUUGGGGAAUUUAAAAAUACAUGCACCCCAGCUUCUGGCGGUCAAGAGAAGUCGUUAAGACAAACAUCUAGUGAGGCCAUUUCUUCAUCAAAUAGGCCAAAGGAGUCCAUAUUGAAGCCUGCUCCUCCAUCCACUUAAUUUGGUCUAAGCCCAGUUAGUUUGGACAGCAACCUGCCCCUGUCACAGUUCAAAGUGAAUAGAAUACUUAGACAAGGAAGAAACAGAAGGCCCAUGGUAUACCUUUGGGACUUAUACCCAAAGUUGGCUCUAAAAGGCAAUUUCAAAUCCCAGAAAAGCUCAGAGAGGAACUCUUACUUGCAACGGAUAGUGACUUUAAAGGAGGAAUCUCCUCCUUCGUAACCAUUCUACGAGUAACACACAACCUGGACAACCAUUACUGCACAACUCUCCAAGCAAGGAGGCAGCACUCACUUUUCAAACUGGAAAAGAACUUGGUCUGGUGUUUAGUGGAGGUGGUGAACAGGAACUUAUUCAGUACUUUACAGGUCACAUUUCUAAUGAUCUCUCAUUAUGCAGCAGCAGAGGUUAAGUCCUCUUCUCCUUAGUCAUCAUCUUAUUUCUACUAUUUUUUGCAUUUGAUUUUCGUAGCAAGUAUGGUGAUUUGUUUUUAGUUUUAUGCUCUACAUUGUGUUUUUCGUUUACUACUUUGCUCUUGUUUGUGGCCAUCUCCACUCCUACCACCAAUUUUUGUGAAUUAUUUCUUGCAUCAUGUUCUAUUGUAUCUCGGGGAACUGCAGAGGUAAUGGCGGCCCCUUUAAAAAGGCACAUGUCAAAAGUUUGAUCUCAAAGUACACGGCUGAUAUUGUAUCUAUUGUUGAAAGCAAAUGUGAAGAAGCAAUGUUCUCACUGAUAAGAAGGAUAUGGGGGAUGAGAAAUUCAGAUUGGAUUAUCGUCAAGUCUAAAGGGCUCUCUGGUGACAUUUUGGCGAUUUGGAACACUGAUACCUUCCAUGUUUUGUCCUGUGCCACUUUCAGUCGAUGGAUUAUGUUACAUGGUUCCUUUGUGGCAUGCGACUUUGCAACUACCUUGUGUUUUGUUUAUGGGCCAUGUGACAUAAGUGAUCAGCAACUCCUCUGGGAAGAAAUGUCGAGAGAGUUAUAGGCCUAUCCUCCUUAUAGGUGACUUCACCUAGGUCCUAAGUAUCUGUGAAAGAAAGAGUAGUCAAGUUUCACGACAGGGUAUGGGAAGCUUCUGUUCCUUCGCUAAUAACUUGAAUCUAGUGGAAAUUAAUCUUACUGGGAAAUGUUUCACAUGGAAGAGUGGAAACUCUAUGAGAAGG
rnacentral:misc_RNA from 1 species